CCAAUAUGGUCAUCCAUUGAGGUUACUCAUGGCUCUGUCCAAGUGGUGUAUAUGGGAGCAUAGCCCUAAGUGCAGUGAUAUACAAUCCCUUCCACAGUGUUGAAGAGCAAGCCUGUCUCUGGUUCUAGAGCUGAUGAGAACAGCAUUCUAUAUAUUUUUAUAACUUCUCAGUCUCUAGACAAUUACUGAGGAGAAACCGUGCAGGUUACAACU
ensembl:snoRNA SNORA73 Small nucleolar RNA SNORA73 family